GCGGUGGUCCCACCUGACCCCAUGCCGAACUCAGAAGUGAAACGCCGUA
rnacentral:rRNA from 1 species